CAGUAGCCGCGGUAAUACGAAGGGUGCAAGCGUUAAUCGGAAUUACUGGGCGUAAAGCGCGCGUAGGUGGUUUGGUAAGAUGGAUGUGAAAUCCCCGGGCUCAACCUGGGAACUGCAUCCAUAACUGCCUGACUAGAGUACGGUAGAGGGUGGUGGAAUUUCCUGUGUAGCGGUGAAAUGCGUAGAUAUAGGAAGGAACACCAGUGGCGAAGGCGACCACCUGGACUGAUACUGACACUGAGGUGCGAAAGCGUGGGGAGCAAACAGGAUUAGAUACCCCCGUAGUCCCUGUCUCUUAUAC
rnacentral:rRNA from 1 species